rnacentral:snRNA from 1 species
GCAUGUGAGGGUGAUAUGGCUGUGACAUCUGUCACUCCAUUGAUCACAGGGUUCAUUCAGCUGAUCUGGCUGGCUAGGUGGGUGUCCCCUUCCUCCUUCAUCACUCCAUGUGCAUCCACCCCAAAGCUGUGUAUUCGGUUGUAAAGGAUGAACUUCCCCAAAGACAGGAGGACAGGUCUUCAGUCAAGGGUAUAUGAGUAGAUACAUUCCCCUGCUAGAACCUCCAAACAAGUUCUCAAGAUUUACCCCCAAACACAGCUUAGGGCUAGACUGGAUAUGUUAUAUUUAAAAAGAAAACAUUAUUUUAGUGAUCCCUUAUGUGAGGAAUUACAAAUUGAA